GAUGAACGCUGGCGGCGUGCUUAACACAUGCCAGUCGAACGGAAAGGCCGAAGCUUGCUUCGGUACUCGAGUGGCGAACGGGUGAGUAACACGUGGGUGAUCUGCCCUGUACUUCGGGAUAAGCUUGGGUAACUGGGUCUAAUACCGGAUAUGACAAUCUCUUGGAUGGGGUUGUGGAAAGCUUUUGCGGUAUGGGAUGAGCUCGCGGCCUAUCAGCUUGUUGGUGGGUAAUGGCCUACCAAGGCGUCGACGGGUAGCCGGCCUGAGAGGGUGUACGGCCACAUUGGGACUGAGAUACGGCCCAGACUCCUACGGGAGGCAGCAGUGGGGAAUAUUGCACAAUGGGCGCAAGCCUGAUGCAGCGACGCCGCGUGGGGGAUGACGGCCUUCGGGUUGUAAACUCCUUUCGCAACCGACGAAGCUUUUGUGACGGUAGGUUGAGAAGAAGCACCGGCUAACUACGUG
rnacentral:rRNA from 1 species